rnacentral:rRNA from 1 species
AGAGUUUGAUCAUGGCUCAGAACGAACGCUGGCGGCAGGCUUAACACAUGCAAGUCGAACGCUCGUAGCAAUACGGGAGUGGCGGACGGGUGAGUAACGCGUGGGAACGUGCCCUGAGGUACGGAAUAACUGAGGGAAACUUCAGCUAAUACCGUAUGAGCCCGAGAGGGGGAAAGAUUUAUCGCCUUGGGAGCGGCCCGCGUCGGAUUAGCUAGUUGGUGGGGUAACGGCCUACCAAGGCUUCGAUCCGUAGCUGGUCUGAGAGGACGAUCAGCCACACUGGGACUGAGACACGGCCCAGACUCCUACGGGAGGCAGCAGUGGGGAAUCUUGCGCAAGUGGGGCAACCCUGACGCAGCCAUGCCGCGUGAACGAUGAAGGCCUUAGGUUGUAAAGUUCUUUACCCGUGACGAUGAUGACGGUAACGGGGAAUAAGCUCCGGCUAACUUCGUG